rnacentral:rRNA from 1 species
GAUGAACGCUGGCGGCGUGCUUAACACAUGCAAGUCGAACGAAGCACCUCUAAUUGAAGAUUGACGAAGCUUGCUUCUGAUUGAUUCGCCUUGAGGUGACUGAGUGGCGGACGGGUGAGUAACGCGUGGGUAACCUACCCUAUACAGGGGGAUAACAGUUGGAAACAGCUGCUAAUACCGCAUAAGCGCACAGCUUCGCAUGAAGCAGUGUGAAAAACUCCGGUGGUAUAGGAUGGACCCGCGUCUGAUUAGCUAGUUGGUGAGGUAACGGCUCACCAAGGCGACGAUCAGUAGCCGACCUGAGAGGGUGACCGGCCACAUUGGGACUGAGACACGGCCCAAACUCC